AUACGGAGGAUGCGAGCGUUAUCCGGAUUUAUUGGGUUUAGAGGGAGCGUAGGUGGGAUAUUAAGUCAGCUGUGAAAGUUUGGGGCUCAACCUUAAAAUUGCAGUUGAUACUGGUUUCCUUGAGUACGGUACAGGUGGGCGGAAUUCGUGGUGUAGCGGUGAAAUGCUUAGAUAUCACGAAGAACUCCGAUCGCGAAGGCAGCUCACCGGGCCGGAACUGACACUGAUGCUCGAAAGUGCGGGUAUCAAACAGGAUUAGAUACCCUGGUAGUCCGCACAGUAAACGAUGAAUACUCGCUGUUUGCGAUACACUGUAAGCGGCCAAGCGAAAGCGUUAAGUAUUCCACCUGGGGAGUACGCCGGCAACGGUGAAACUCAAAGGAAUUGGCGGGG
rnacentral:rRNA from 1 species